GAUGAACGCUAGCUACAGGCUUAACACAUGCAAGUCGAGGGGAAACGAUAGAGAAAGCUUGCUUUUUCUAGGCGUCGACCGGCGCACGGGUGAGUAACGCGUAUCCAACCUGCCCACCACUUGGGGAUAACCUUGCGAAAGUAAGACUAAUACCCAAUGAUAUCUCUAGAAGACAUCUGAAAGGGAUUAAAGAUUUAUCGGUGAUGGAUGGGGAUGCGUCUGAUUAGCUUGUUGGCGGGGUAACGGCCCACCAAGGCUACGAUCAGUAGGGGUUCUGGAAGGAAGGUCCCCCACAUUGGAACUGAGACACGGUCCAAACUGCUACGGGAGGCAGCAGUGAGGAAUAUUGGUCAAUGGACGAGAGUCUGAACCAGCCAAGUAGCGUGCAGGAUGACGGCCCUAUGGGUUGUAAACUGCUUUUAUAAGGGAAUAAAGUGAGUCUCGUGAGACUUUUUGCAUGUACCUUAUGAAUAAGGACCGGCUAAUUCCGUGCCAGCAGCCGCAGUAA
rnacentral:rRNA from 1 species